AAACCAUGACGAGGACACUCUAAGAUAAGAUCCUUAAAAAGUUCCAUACACCUAGAAAAUGAUUCAUUGGCUCUUUGGUGAAACUGAAAAAUGUCAUUCCUAAGCUU
rfam:Cephalotus follicularis DNA, scaffold: scaffold732, isolate: St1.